AGCAAGUUUAAAUACAACAAUAUAGGAAUAUAUCAUGAUUGAAGAGUAUGAAUAAUAAGUUGGCUAUAAUUCAUCAAUAUAAUUGAGAACUAGCAGGAACAAACUUUUGACUGAACAAGUUUUAAACAUGAACAAACAUUUCUGAACCAACUGGUAAUGAAGGUGAUCAGCCUUUCAUACCUGACUUAUACAUGCAAGAUGUACAGAGUACAAUUUUCAUGGCAAUCAGCAAUGAUUAACCAUAAGCUUGAAUAAAACACUCUUAUUAGAGUUAAGUAAGAACAAACUUGCCUGAACCGUUGAUUACCGCAACGCAAUUUAUAACGCUUUACCCGAAGACCUAAUAUUAAUAAUAUAGAUCUCCAAUAUUAGAAUAAUAUCAUCACAGUAUAAUACUGUUAUAUUUAAAUACACAGAAUAACCUAAACACAUAACACAUAACCCUAUAAGUCUAUACAGCACAUAAGACUUAGCAUCAGGUCAAACUAUUUCAGUCUGACUUAAAACUGACACAGUUCUAUCAUCCCGACGGUCUAGUCGGACAAUACUCGAGUUUAAGUUCAGUUAAACUCUUCCUGAACACUUAACAAUUAUCUCAGAUAAUUUCUUAUCAGUCAAAACAUUUUUCCUAGGCUCGUAAUAAUUUUCGGAUAAUUAUUACCAUUUAUCAUGAUUUUCCAAUCAUUAAAACCGUAUUUAAAUGAAUUAAAUACCACAUAAUUCCUUAAUCAUUAAUAUUCAUUUAAUAUAAAAUAUUAAUGAAAAUCCUUACAUAAUAUUAUAAUGUAAUUAUAAUAUUUCAAAAUAUUUUUAAUACCUUAAAAUCAUAAUUAUUUGAUUUUUAAACACUUAAAUCCAUUAUCCGAUAAUUAAUAUUAAUAUUAAAAUAUUAAUAUUUUCAUGCCAAAAUAUCAAAAGUUAUAUUUUAUAACUUAAAAUAUUUUUAUAACACUUAAAUCAUUUUUAUAUGAUUUUUAAAACAUUAAUUCUAUUUUUCCUUAAUUUAUUUAAUAUAUUUAUUAAAUAAACUAAUUACCAUUAAUAAUAAAUUAUUAAUGAAAUUUAUCACAAAAUAUUAAAAGUCAUCAAAAAUAACUUAAAAUAUUUUCUUUUACCAUAAUAUUAUUUUUCAUGAUUUUUCAUGAAUUAAAACUAUUUUUAAAUAAUUUAUUUAAUAUUAUAAUUAAAUAAAUAAAUACCUUUUAUAUUCCCAAAAAUAUUAAAUAUUUUUGAAAUAUAUCCAAAAUAAUUAAAAACUAUUUUUCAAGCUUUAAAAUAAUUUUUCAUAAUUUAUUAUGUAUUUUUAAUAAUUUAAAAUCAUUUAUUUCAAUUUAUUUAUUAAAAUAAUUAAUUUUCUAAUUUAUCUGUCGCUAAAGGUAGCUUAGGUGACAAAUCUGUCGCUAAAUGUGUUCUUGAUGUGUUCUUCAGCAUUUCCAGAAAUUCAUGUCAGUGUUCGAGUGGGUAGGUUUGACCCGAAUUUGAUCUAUGAUCUAAAUGUUUUCUAGACUUGUAAAAACUUUGAUGUUGUAGUACUAAUGUAGUACUACAAGUAUAUACCAAUUCCAUGACCAAACAACAACAUAACAACGAGAUCUAAGCUUCCAAAAAUGAUGUCAGACCUGUUCUUCAAAUUCUGGGAAUUCCAGAUUUGAAGAACAGCCUUAGGUGCCUUUUAUUGAUCCUUGUAACUUGCAUUCUAGGCUUUGGUUUUGUGAUCUAAAGGUUCAGUCUUGUAGCAGAGAUGUCAGUGUACAAGGUUGUAACAACCGAUCAUCAUAAAAACAACAAUAAGUUAAGAUUUGAGCCGGUCAAACUGGUAGGCAGAAAAAUCCCGUUGAAGAUCUGGGUUACCCAGAAUCUUCUUCCGGUCGUGAUGGUCAACGAUGGUUUGACUGUUCAUUACUUUGAUUCUAUGAAAGAUCUGAGUGAUAUAAUAACAUGAUUGUGUAGUCCUUAAACAUACCUACAAUAUCUAACCAACACAAUGGCCAAAACAACAAACACCAACAAGAUCAAGGGCUUUGAACAUCUUGUCAGACCUCCUGGGAAAAUUCUGGGUUACCCAGAAUUCAUUUCCCGUGAACGGUCAACGGUCUUUGACCGUUUAUAUCUUGCGAUCUAUAAUAGAUCUGGGUCUGAUUCUUUUUGCACCUUCAAGAACACAUAUCAGGCUACAUGUUACAAGUUUUAAACAUCAAAAACACUUAACACACACGGAUCUAUAAGAUCUGACAUUUGACUGAAAAACACAAUUUUCCAGAUUUCCAGAUUUUGAAAAACUCUAAAUUCGUGCACUUUGAUGUUAUGGAUCAUGGAUUUAUCAACCCAGAUCAUCAAUUGACACCUUAUUACAUAUCUUUGAACAAUCAAUUACAACAUUUAACAAGGAAUUGAAGGAUUUCAAAAUUAGGGUUUUAUACCUCUUUAUGCUUUGAUUUUAAUCUUGGCUCUCCAAUCUGUUUAUGGAUGAUCAUGGAGCUGUUUCUAGGACUGAUCCACUACUGAUUUUCGUGGGUUUGUGAAAGAGAGAGAGUUGGUGAGAGCAAAAUACAAAAUGGCUAAGUUUUUUGAACUUUCUCUCUCUAAAUCUUAUAUAUAAUGCUUUGAUUCAUGCAUGUUGCUUCAAUUUCGGCUGAGUUGGGCUGAUUUGCUGAGAUUUCAAGUUGCAAAGUCAAAAUAUUUGGUAACCUACUAAAGUUAUAGCAAUUUUUGCAAGUUACAUAAUAAAAUACACUAAAAGGGCAUUUUGGUCAUUAUCUAAUUAUUUUUAAUGGUAUUCUUGGAAUUGGCCAAACCCUUAGGGUUUAGGGUUUGUUAGGGUUUAGGGUUUGGAGCAUUUAGGGUUUAAGUUUUAACCCUUAACUUCCAAAUUAGUUUCUAACAUUUUCCGAGUUUCGGUUUUUCAAAAAUAAAAAUUUAAUAUUUCUAAAUUAUAAUUAGAAUUUUCUAAUUAUAUUACAAUUUCUUAAUUACACUUUAAAUCUUACUAACUAGGAUUAAUAUUUCCUAAUUAAAAUUGCUAAUUACGCAAGUAGGGUCAAAAUGGUCAUUAGGGUUUUCAACCCACAAUUUAGGGUUUCUAAAUAGAAAAUAAUUUUCUAAUAUAGAAAUUAAAUAUUCGUAAUUAGAUUAGGGUUUUCUAAUUACUUAACAUUAAAUUAGAAUUAAUAUAUCCUAAUUAACAUUAAAAUAUUCAAUUAACACUUUCAUUUUUCCUAAUUAUAAAUUAGGGUUUCAAAUCCAUCAUUAGGGUUCCUGACGGAAAAGUUUAAGUUCGAUAAUUUGAAAUUAGGGUUUGCUAAUUAAUUAAGCGUUACCCUAAUUAAUAUUAUAAUAAUAGCAGUAGAGCAUUAUAAUUCUCCAUUAAUUUCCCAGAUUAGGGCUUCAAUUUAUCAGAAUCUGAAACUAGGGUUUUCAGAUCAAGUAUUAGGGUUUCAGAUUUUGAAUUAGGGUUUUGUAAUCAAUUUGUUAAGAUUAACCCUAAUUAAUCUUAUAAUUAUUUACACUUAUGCCAUUAAGUUCCCGAUUUAGGGUUUCAUGCACCGAAUUAGGGUUUCGGAUUCUCGAAACUGAAACUAGGGUUUCCAGAACCGAUUUCUAGGGUUUCUUAUCAAACGUUAGGGUUUUCUAACUGAACGUUGUUGUUCUUAAUAUAUUCUUAGGGUUUGUUACAGAUAUAAUUUAUCUGGUCAACCCUUGACCCUUAACCACAUUCUGAACACGUACAUAACCAUAAACACAACACAUAUUCACAUAAAUCCUUAAUCCUGAAUAAUUCACCUAAAUCCUUCACAGAAUUUUGAAAUCCUCAAAAUUCCAUCCUAAUAACAUCAAACGCAUACACUUAUUUUCUAUCUAGGUCUAUUAUUUGACCUUAAAUCAAUCAUUUAAGAUUUUACUAAAUUGUCCAAAUUCUCGGGUUGUCACAUUCACCCCUCCUUCUAAGAAUUUCGUCCCCGAAAUUCACCUUACACCUUACACCGUAUACCAAAUAGCUUACACCAUUCACACAUAUCACAUGCUACCCAAUACACCACUCACCAGAGUAAAAGUUUUCAAAUUGUGCUGAGGGGUCGUAUAGACCAUGAACACUUAGUUUUAACGGUAGUGAUCAUACCGCAAAACAAUACAUUACUUGGUAUGUUUACAAUCACAAAGAAGGUAAACUACCAUUAAUAGUACUUUAGGUGAUUAGCCUAUCGUACUCUUACGUCAUGCAUAACGUAUUAAUUAUGUGUUGCGAAUAUUUACGCUUCUCGAUUGGAUUAUUUAUCCAAACAACAUUGUUCACCUCAGUCUUAUUAUAGGAUUCCGUACCAAAACAAUUUGGUUCGGGAAAUAUUUUUUUUUUUUUCAAUGAACACUUAGAGUUUUCAUAACAUUAGUCUAGCUGAAUCAAAUAGCAUGGACUCAUAUCAAUAAUUCAAUUCAAUCGAAUUAAUUAGGUGUAGCCAAACCCCGUUGGCAAAUUAAAAUUUUUUUGAAAACAUUUUUGAGAAUGACGUCAUGAUGCCGCACUGUAUUUACAGUCCGUUGAGGAUUUCGUCAUUUGGUAAUUUUGUCAUUCUACAUUAUACCAUAGUGGAAUAGUGACUUUAUGUCAAAUUCACACUAAGUAAUACUGCAUUGAUGACUCCAUCAUUUUUAUCAUCUCUGCACCAGGUUACAUGGUACAUGAGUGAUAAUUAAAAACAAAUUUUGGAUAUUUCAAAUCAUUUGAGUCUAGCUAAAAUAAGUAGCAUAGACUGUACUUUAAACCGUUUCAAAAAUGGUUACGAGUCUACAUUUUUUUUUUUUAAAAGGCACAUAGUGCGUAUUUAGCUUGAUGUCAAAAAUUGAAGUUUAGCAAAGCUAGGGGUUUAGGAAAACCUAAAUCUCCACUAAUGAUCAUAUGCUUAACAAUCUAUCUAUUCCUAUUAUCCUGAACACUCCAUUCACACAACUAUACCCAGUUCAUAAAACCACACUUAUGAGUUCAUAACCUGGCCACACUUAUAUGAGUUUACGAACUUACCCUAGUCUGACCUUUGGCGUCCGUUCGCUGAGGGGCUCAUAAACAUUUCAUAUAACUAUAAGUCAAGAAUGUCACAUAAGUAUGAGUUAUAAGAACUCGUACUUAAUACUAUAUUCUCUACCUAUGACCUAUUUAUCUGUAUAUAACAACUAGCGUGACACAACAUUUCAAUUAUUACUAAUGCCACCAACUAAGUAGUUUUUAUACCAAGUACAAUUCCCCGCCCAUACAAGAAAUCAUACAACUCAGUUGCUGACACGAGUCCUCAUUGAAAUCCCCACCUAAUACUUAACCCCCUUCUCAAUACGAAUUUCAUUUAAUCCGUAUUCAUAAUCCUUUACUGAAUCUGUACCAUUCACACAGCAAUCAUGCUUUAAACUUUUCAAUCAUCAGAUUGAUUCUUGCUGGCUGUCAUAACCUUAACAGAUCACGGGGUGAUCUCAUCGUAUAUAUUACGAUUCAAUUCUAUGACUAUGAUCCUUUUGUUUUACGAUCUCCUAUCACUGAACUUUUAGUCUUUUAGACUUUAUCUAUUCACCACUUCUGUUCAACCUUAUUACCAGAGUUAGGGAACUCUGUAUCUUAACAACUUACCGAGAUUCGUCUUUGAAUCUUACCGACCAACUAACUCUAUGUGAGUUAGAUCUUAUCCUAAUCACUGCGGUUAUUGGUCUCAGGUAUUCCUACCUAAGCUUCAUAACCAACAGCUUUGAUACCUACUGUAGCGUCCCCCGAAUCCGGGCCCCAAAUCGCCGCGGAUUCGGUUCGCUAAUCUUUCUAUAACUGUUUGCGGAAGAUAUAAACAUAAAUUGUUUAUACAUUACAUUACACAUUAUUCCCCAAGGUCGAGUAACCUUAACUUAAACACAAAUCAUAAGCUAUCUAUCAGAUAAGAUAUUAUUCAACUAUACUAUUACAAACUAGCCGCACAAUUUAUCCCAAGCUGUACUUGGCAUUAACCUUUUCCUGUAUCCGAACGCAUUCGCCUUAUCUGCAAUGUUUUAUCAUGAUAUAGCAAGGGUGAGCAUGAAAGUUGCCCAGCAAGUUUAAAUACAACAAUAUAAGGAUAUAUCAUGAUUGAAGAGUAUGAAUAAUAAGCUGGCUAUAAUUCAUCAAUAUAAUUGAGAACUAGCAGGAACAAACUUUUGACUGAACAAGUUUUAAACAUGAACAAACAUUUCUGAACCAACUGGUAAUGAAGGUGAUCAGCCUUUCAUACCUGACUUAUACAUGCAAGAUGUACAGAGUACAAUUUUCAUGGCAAUCAGCAAUGAUUAACCAUAAGCUUGAAUAAAACACUCUUAUUAGAGUUAAG
rnacentral:lncRNA from 1 species